rnacentral:misc_RNA from 1 species
UUUGUAUUUCAAUCAAAAAUUUUAUCCCCAAUAUUGUUAAAUUCAAAUAUCAUCUUUUCAAAUACACACUUUCAAUUUUAUAAUGAGUUUAUACAGUCCGGAGGCUUCUUCUGCCAUUGGUAUAAUUUUCCUGACAGUAUUAUGGAGCAAGCAAAGUACUAUUUUAUUUUUAAUUAAAGUAUGCAUGUUCUCACUUGUAAACUGUGUCUGAAAAAUAACGACGACAUCCGCCUGAAGCUAACAUCUUAGAAAGUAGCGCUGAUUCAGCUGCUGCUACCUUUCCCACAGAUUCAUUUUUGGCUUCCACGUUUUCCAUUAUCAAUGAUCUUUCAAGUUCCAGUUUCUUAGCUAAGCGAGUGAACCAUCCAUUAGAAAGUAUGCAGAAGUAGAUGCCUUCGGUCAACAUAUGCUUUUCAGCUCACAAGAAUUAGAUGCUUCUUGUCAGUAACAUGUAAGUUAUCUUCCUGAGCACUACCAUUAUUGUGCAGCUGAUUAUAUCAUGGCUUUACUUCAAUAUGCUUAAAAUAUUCAAGACAGAGGUAUAAAGCCUUAUCCCUGCGAUCUUUAUCCUUGUUGAUUCAUAUUGCACUGUGAUAGAUGCUGUGUAACAUCUGCUCAAGCUGGAAAAUUUUGAUAAUCAGGCUCUAUUCCAUUGCCAUUUAUGUCCAUUUGAUUUGGUGUGACAUAGUUCUCAAUGGUCACAACCACUCCAGAUCCAUCAGGAAGCUCAAAAACAGAUUGAAUUAAACCCUGAAAAAUUGUGCACUCUAUAUCAGAGCUAUUAAAAGAUCGGAAUGUUAAUUAUCAUUUUAACUGCUGAACUGGUAGGCCCUCAUGAUCAUAAAAUUCAAUGAAAUGGAUCUGUUGAUACUUGGCAGUUCCUACAGAUAGGAAAAUGUUUGAACAUUCAGUCAACUCAACAUGCACAAACCACACUAAAAGCAGCUUAAGGUCCAAAGAAAUCUGCACCAAUAUAUGAACAGCCAGCUUUUGUGAUUUCCCCAUCCAUGAAGAAAUAGACCACUAUGGAAGUUAAAUUGAGUGAAAUUAAUAAAUAAAUAAUAAAAGAGAGAGGUUCUAGAUGCACUUUGGUAUGUUUCACAACAAAGUAUGAAUUACAGGAAUAAAAUAGAUUAUGGAAAACACAAUAAAUAACAUUAAACAUUGGCAAAAUAAACUAACCUUGCCAAAAGUUCUUUCCCCACAAUAACAGGUCUACAGUUCUCACGAAGUGCAGAGGCAACCUGGAACAAGAGUCUUAACAACAGUAUUGCAACUGUGAAUGCUAAAUAAUCACAUAUGAUUUAGUAAAAGAAGUUUCUCACAAUUUCACUUGCACUAGAAGUUUUUUUGUUCAUCAAAACCUACAUAAGUGAUACAAGCCAUGGUCACAAACAAGCAUGUAAGAUCCAUCCAAUCAAAUAAUACUCUCAGCUAAGCAACAUGAAUCAGUUUUACAAAAGAAGUGCAUCAGAUUGGAACCACAUUUUUCAUUUCUAUUGAAAAAUAGAAAGCAAUUCAACUAAAAAGGUGGCAAGGGAUACCAUCCUCGGCACAAAAGGAAACUCAGAAACAAAAGAUGUUUCCCAUGUUAAACAAUGGAUGUAACAAGAGAUGAAUCACAUACACUAUAUACAAGACAUCAAAUCAAUAACCCAAAAGGCUGCAAUCAUAGAAUAUUAACCAAGACUGGACCCAUUUGAGGAUGCAAACAAGACCCACAGCAUUUCAGAAGCCCUAGCGGCCUAGCCUCAAACUUUGGUUUAUAAAGCUGAGUCAAAUUGUCAAACUGUGAUCAAGUAUGUGUGGCAACUAAAGCCAUGCUCUGACAGGAUCAUAUUUCAAGAUGCCAAGUUCAACAAGCUUAAUUUCCUGCUUUCAACUUAUUUGUUCCCCACCAAAAUCUGAGACCAAAUAAAUGGAAUAAGACAGGUUUCUGUCUUCAUGUUGACUUGCACACCAUGCUUCAGUUUACUUAAGUUGCAAUUUAGUUAUAGCAAAGUAAUGGAUUUUGGCGGCUCAUAUCCAUACCUAGCAGUGUUCAUAUCCUUCUUGUUUGGCGCCAAAAAAAAAAUGAACCAUGAAUCAACAUAAAUAUAUAAAUAAUGCUGCUGGAAGAAAAAAAAUUCAUCAAUUUUGAUGGCGACAAACCUGAUUUGAUUUAUUGAUGAAAACAAAUAGAUUUACUGUUGUUUAUAUCAUAGAAAUAAGAGAACAUACAAUAAUGGGAGCAGUAAUCAAUGAUUGAGCAAUUAUGGUGUUUUGAUAUCGAGGAUCCCUUCCAACGGUAUAAAUCACCUGCUCACAUACAUUAUUAGGAUAAAACAUCAAUCAAUAUAAUAAUUCCUAACGAACUAAAUCCAUGAAUUUAAUUUAUUGCCAGGUAACUGAACUUGACAUCCAAUUAUCUUCAAAAUAUACUUCAAAUUCCAAACCCUGAGUCCAGUAUCAAAUGCUUUUAAUUCCAAAGAAAGGAAAAGGUAUUUUGAGCCAACUCUUCCUUCCUUGAUGGAUAAUGCGGCAAAUUAAGAAGCCUUUAAGGCUUAAGUAGGUUUUUAAGGUAGUUAGUAGAAAGGGCAUUUUGAGUCCUCUAUCCAGAAGAAAGUUUACGUAUAAAAUAAAAAAUACUAAUGUUACUACAUAACAGUAAAUACCUCAGUGCUAAAUCUAUCAUACACCCCCUUCUUUCCUCUUUUUCACUCCCAACAGCAAUCAAAAGCAACCAAAAGAAAAAUAAUUCCAAAGAACUCAUUACAUUUUAAUUCAUUCUCAAGAAACUAAAAUGUUGAUGUUUAAAGGUAGAGACUAAAUUCAUAUGCCACUCAGAUGUUUCGAUGGAUGAAAUAUAUAAUUCAGAAUGUAGUUUGACCUUGCACCCCAAGUGUUCACACCAUCCAUCAUGAUCUAAAGAGAUUACCUAACAAUUUAUCUGAAAAAAAAAAAAGAGAUCACCAAAGUACUUCUAAAAUUUGGGUGACAGAGAAAGUCCGAAAAAAGAACAACUCAACUCAACUCAACUA